GGUUCAAUCCGUUGGAGAAUGAAAAGGGAACUCGGUGUAAAUCCGAGACUAUACCCGUAGCUGUAAGUUUCUUUUCAAUCCGUGCAUCCUAACAAGGUCACUGCUAAAAAAAAGUGGGAAGACCGCACGGACGAAACAAGUCAGAAGACCUGCCUUAUUC
rnacentral:ncRNA from 1 species